GGGUUGCUCUGAGUAUCUGUAUAAUAAUUCUUUUAAAGAUCUUGGCUCAAGUUGGCAUUGCUGAUGUUUUGAGCCUUAAGGAUUCUUUUAGGUUUGUUGUUGCCUCCUGGACCCCUGUGGUUUCCGAUUUGUGUAUAUAGGCGUGUGGGUUUCAAGGGUCUCUUGGGUUAGCCCUCGCUUCUUGGUUGUCGAGGUUUUCUUAUCGGUUAUUCUUGUUUGAAAGUGAGGCACC
rnacentral:lncRNA from 1 species